rnacentral:lncRNA from 1 species
CUUCUCACUCUCUCCUCUUCCUCCUCUCUCUUUUCUUCUCACUCUCUCCUUCUCACUAUCUCCUCUUCCUCUUCUCACUUUCUCCUCUUCUUCCUCUCUCCUCUUCUUCUUCACACUCUCUCCUCUUCUUCUCACACUCUCCUCUUCUUCUCUCUCUCCUCUUCUUCUCUCCUCUUCUUCUCUCUCUCCUCUUCUUCAUCUCGCUCUCUCCUCUUCCUCCUUUCUCCUCUUCUCACUCUCUCAUCUUCUUCUCACUCUCUCCUCUUCUUCUCACACUCUCUUCUUCCUUUCACUCUCUCCUCUUCUUCUCAGUCUUGUCUCUUCUCCUUGCUCUCUCCUCUUCUUCUCACUCCUCUUCCUCCUCUCUCCUCACUCCUCUUCCUCCUCUCUCCUCUUCUUCUCUCUCUCUCCUUUUCUUCUCACUCCUCUUCCUCCUCUCUUCUUCUCACUUUCUCCUCUUCCUCAUCUCACCUCUUCUUCCUUCUCUGUCCUCCUCUUGUUCUCAUUUUCUCCACUUCCUCCUCUCUCCUCUUUUUUUUUCACUCUCUCCUCUUCUUCUCACUCUCUCCUUUUCCUCCUCUCUCUUCUUUUUUUUAGUCUCUCAUCUUCUUCUCACACUCUCUUCAUCAU